GGAGGGUGCAAGCGUUAUCCGGAUUUAUUGGGUUUAAAGGGUACGUAGGCGGCAGAGUCAGUCAGUGGUGAAAGCCAACAGCUUAACUGUUGAACUGCCAUUGAUACUGCUUUGCUUGAGUACAGUCGAGGUAGGUGGAAUUCCACAUGUAGUGGUGAAAUGCAUAGAUAUGUGGAGGAACGCCGAUAACGAAGGUAGCUUACUAGGCUGUUACUGACGCUGAGGUACGAAAGCGUGGGGGGAGCGAACGGGAUUAGAGACCCCGGUAGUCCACGCCGUAAACGAUGGUCACUCGAUGUGUAUCCUUUGAGAUAUGCGUCCUAGCGAAAGCGUUAAGUGACCCCACCUGGGAGUACGCUCGCAAGAGUG
rnacentral:rRNA from 1 species